GAUGAACGCUGGCGGCGUGCCUAAUACAUGCAAGUCGAGCGAACAGACGAGGAGCUUGCUCCUCUGACGUUAGCGGCGGACGGGUGAGUAACACGUGGAUAACCUACCUAUAAGACUGGGAUAACUUCGGGAAACCGGAGCUAAUACCGGAUAAUAUAUUGAACCGCAUGGUUCAAUAGUGAAAGACGGUUUUGCUGUCACUUAUAGAUGGAUCCGCGCCGCAUUAGCUAGUUGGUAAGGUAACGGCUUACCAAGGCAACGAUGCGUAGCCGACCUGAGAGGGUGAUAGGCCACACUGGAACUGAGACACGGUCCAGACUCCUACGGGAGGCAGCAGUAGGGAAUCUGCCGCAAUGGGCGAAAGCCUGACGGAGCAACGCCGCGUGAGUGAUGAAGGUCUUCGGAUCGUAAAACUCUGUUAUUAGGGAAGAACAAAUGUGUAAGUAACUAUGCACGUCUUGACGGUACCUAAUCAGAAAGCCACGGCUAACUACGUG
rnacentral:rRNA from 1 species